UUUUUGUUUUUUUUUUUUUUUUUUUUUUUUUGGCAUUUAGCCUCGGCAUUUUCUAAGCUUCCUGGAUCAAUGACUUGGUGUAAAUUCUGUUGUUAUUGUUUCAAUAUUUCUUCUGUUCCUUUCUCUAUUUCCUCUUCUGGCAUUCUAGUUACAUGUAUUUUACACUAUUUGUAGCUGUCUCUGAGCUCUUGGAUAAAGUUGGACAAAGCUAUUAAUAUGCCUGUCAAAGGAUCUCUUCACAGUGUUGUUGAUCUAGCACUUCUUUUGGUUCUUUCUUGGAAUCUCUGUCUUUCUGCUUACAUUCCCCAUCUGGUCUUGCAUGACGUCUGUUUUAUUCAUUAGUGCUCUCAGCAUAUUAAUCACAGUUUUAAAUAUUUCCUUGCUUGGUGAUUCCAAAAUCACUGCCGUAUCUGAAUCUGGUUCUGAUUCCUGCUUGGCAUCUUCAAACCAUUUUUUUUUGCCUUUUAGUAUGCCUUGUAAUUUUUUCCUUGACAGCCAGAUAUGAUAUACUGGGUAAAAGGAUGCUGUAAAUAAACCUUUAGUAAUGUGUUGGUAAAGUAGAGGCGAGAGGAAAUAUUCUGUAUUCCCAUGAUUACAUCUCAGUCUUUUAGUGAGUCUGUGCCUCUGGACUGUCAACUCUGCAUAUCGCAGUUUCUGUUUCUCCUAUUUAUCCCUUAAGCAGGACAGGUGACUCAAAUCCAUUGGCGCUGGGAAUUCUCUUUCUCUACAUGGAAGGCUAGAGCUUUGUAGAGUUGGAUUUUCCCCUUCCUGAGCUGUAUAGAAUUGGAUUUUCCUCUCCCCGCCCAGGUCAGUUAGGCUCUGAUAAAACCUCUCCUGGUUAGUCUUGGGUAAAAUAUUUUCAUCUGUGGGUAGCCCUUGUUAACAAGAACAGAAUAUUCUGGUGUUUCAAAAUGGUUCCUUUUCCUUUUCCAAGAGAAAGCACCACAGGAUUUUCCCUGAUAGUCACUGUGAGAACCUCGUAGGACUUUAGGAGGUAAAACUCACAAAAGUGUAAACCUUUCCCAUGACUGGAUCUCUUCUGCAGUUUUUAAUCUUUCAAACUUGAACACAUUGAGUAUCCAGCAAUUUGUCAAAUUCGCUUUAGAUUUUCCUAUCCUGGCACUAGUUCUUACGGAGGUUUCUGCUCUGGUUUGUUUUGAUUCUCUUUAUUUACCUAUCUGUCUCUUGAAUUUUGGUAAUAGCAGUUUGCCCUGUGAUGUCAUGGUUCUUAUGGCUCUAAGAUGAGUUGUUGAUUUUAUAAUUUUUGUCAGAAUUUUAAUUGUUGUUAGGGAAAAGUGGCAAAUUCCAAGUACCUUAUAUUUUGGGCCAGAAAACUUAAGUUACUACAAUAUAUAUAUUUUAAGUACAUAUCUCAUGCUGUAAUUUGUAAUUUUGUAUUUCAAUAUAGAUAUCACUUACAUUUGCUCUAGAGCUUAGAGAUAUUAUGUGGUACAAAUAAUAAAACAAAGAAAAUUUUUGGGAGUAUUUCUUCCCCCAAAUAAUGAAGAAGAGAUUUUUUUUUAAAAUACUAAACACUUUGUCUUUUAUUUUGCAAGGGUUUGUAUAUUUUGAGCUCAACCAAAUGUCUUUUAGCCAACAUGCUUAUGUCAUAUAUGUGAUGCUAGUUCCCUGGGGCUACAGAGAAUAUCAGGAAUGGUUUUUAAAGAUUAUCUGGCUUUGUUUUAUAUACUCGAAAUGUCAAAAAGAACAAAUCACCUUAAAGCUCUCUGUAAAUAUUUUCACUAAUAUAUUCUGGAAAAAAGAAUUUGAUAAGAGAGUAUAGCUGGGAAAGCCAAUUCAUAUCAAUUUAAAAAGAAGAAACAUCUGCUGUAAUUUCUCUGUUUAUUUGGCAAUUUUGAAAGUCAAAAGUGAUUAUAAAAGUUCCAUGUAAUCUGGCUAGGAUGAUGACUGCAAAUAUAUUAACAACCCAGAGGAUGGGAGGCAUUUGAAAAUGAGAAAUAGCAUUAGUAUUCAACCAAUAUCCCUAAAUUUUUAGUUACCAUUUAUUGUGUCCCCAUGGACAAGUCUGUACGUUAGCAGCAAAUCAUAGGAAAGUGAAAUAAAGAGCAAAAAAUAAAUUAUGUUUAAAAACUCAUCAUCAGCAUUGAAAUCAAAGAAUAUCUGGAAAUGACCUAGGAUGUCCUUAAAUACAAAUACCCAUGAAAAAUUCUAAGAGAUGUUCAAGUUGUCUAAUACUCAAAACUACAAAAAUUUGCUAAGAGAAAUUAAGGAAGACUUAAAUAAAUGGUGAAAUAUACAAUGUUCCUGGAUUUGAAAACUCCAGUUUCCCCACAUCAAUCUAUAGGUUCAAUGCAUCCCAAUCAAAAUCCAGCUACUCUUUGUUAAAGAUGUUUCUAAAAUUUAUGUGAAAAUGCAGAAUACUUAGAAUAACCAGAGAGUCUUGAAGAAAGAGAGCAAAGUUGGAGAAGAUGCCAGACUCAAGAUAUUAUAAAGUGGCAAUAGUUAAACAGUAUGGUAGAGGCAAUAUAACAGAGAAAUGCAUCAAUGAAACAGAAUUGAGAGUUCCAAAAUAGUCCCAAACAUAUAUUUGACUUUUGACAAAGGCAGCAGAAUAAUUAAAUGAAAGAACUUUAAAUAAAAUGGUAUUGCAGGCUGGAUAUUUAUGUGGGAAAAAAUGAACCUUGACAUUCAUCUUAAAUGUAAAUGAAAAUUAAUUCAAGGUGGAUGAUAAACAUAACUAUAAAUGCUAAAAUCGUAAAACUUCUCAAACAAACCAUAAAACAUCUUUAUGAUUUAGGGAAGACAAGGACUUCUUAAAUCAGGAACAAUAAGCUCUGACAAUAACAAAAACCAAUUUAAAUUGAAUUUCAUCAAAAUUAAAAACUUUUCUCAUCCAAAGGCAAAAAGUAAAAAGAACAUCCAUAGACUGGGAAUAAAUGCAUAUGACAAAGAACUUGUAUAUAGAAUAUAUAUAUUAUUCCUGUGUCUUAAUAAAAUGACAACUCAAGGACUAAUGUCUUGCUCAGACAUUUUUGCAAAUAGGCAAGAAGUAUUGGAAAAGAUACUUAAUGUUGUUAUCAGGUAAAUUAAAACCACAAUGGCAUACCACUAAAGAAUGAGUCAUAUUAGAAAGAUAAACAAUACUAAAUGUCAACAAGGAUGAGGAGCAAAUAGAACUGUUAUACGUUGAUGGAGGUAAUGUAUUUGGUACAACCGCUUUGCAAAAUUGUUUGGCAGUUGCUAAUACUGUUAAACAUACUCCUAUCAUAUGACCUAACAAUUUACAUUGCUGGGAAUAUACCGAAGGGAAGUAAAUGCAAGUUCAUAAAAAGAUUUUCCCAGGAAUGUUUCUAGUAGCUUCCUUAGUAACUGUCCAAACCGGGAAACUACUCAAAUGUCUUUACUGAGUUAUAGCAUUAUAUGUUCUCUUGAAUAUUUGUCUAAUAUUGCUGUCUGGUGGACCUUCACUAUCUAGGCUUAAACUUGAAUAACUAACUUGAUCAGAAGUUCAUUGUUCUUCAAAUACUGUUUUAUACAGUACAUAGAACUGUGAAAACUACAAUUAACUAUUAGGUGAUGUUGCAGGUGACUUAACUAGGUGAAAUUUUGUGUAAAAAAAUGAUUAGAUAGCAUAGUAUCCAAGUGGUGCUAUUCUGUGGCCAGCAAGAAAUAAAGUGCCAAACUGUGAGAUAGUAAUGUCACCAACAUCACUUAUAGAGGAAAUUAGAGUCUUGAACUUCCUAAAGAGUGAUUAAAGAAGCAAUGCAAUAAUGCCUAUACAUUUAGCCCUUUUUUUUUUUCUUCUUCUUUUUACGGUUGCACCUAUGGCAUAUGCAAGUUUCCAGGCCAGCGGUUGAAUUGCAGCUGCAGCUGCAUACUGCAGUACAGGCACAGCAAUGUGGGAUCUGAGGUGAAUCUGCAACUUACACUGCAGCUUGUGGCAAUGUCAGAUCCUUAACCCACUGAGUGAGGCAAGGAAUGAAACCCAUUUCCUCACAUAGAUAUGGUUGUGUCCUUAACCCCCUGAGCCACAACAGGAACUUCCUACUUAGCCUUUUAAAGAACACAGUCUUUAGUUUGAAAGGAUGGAGAGGAGUUAGCCAAAGAGCCAAAAUCAAUAUUCUUAAAGGAUAUCAGCAGAACAAGAAAUAGUUUUAUUGAGGCAAGAUGGCAGAAGAGUAGGGGGACGUGUUUGCCCUCUGCCACAAACACAACAAAAAACCACAUUUACACAUAAAAUGACUCAUACAGAGCAUCUACAGAUUGCUGGCAGAAGAUCUUGAACCUCCAAAAACAGCAAGAAUCUCUUGACAUAACUGGGUAAAAUGACAGAAAAGAGGUGAGAGAGAAAAGGGGAAUCAGGACGGGACUGGCAUUCUUGAGAGGGAGCUGUGAAGGAGAAAAGGAACCUACACUCUGGGAAGCCACCUAACGGAUGGAAAGAUCAGCCGAGUCAGAGGGAUCUCCAAGACACUAAGAAAAGCAUAUCAGCAGGACUGAGAACUGAAAAGCGAGUGAGAGACCCACAGAUCAUCUGAACCAUUGGCACAGACACCAAAGACUGAGAUGGUUGGAAGGGGGCUGGGCACCAAGACUAGGGUCCAGAGGUCAGUCCUUGGGAGCGGGCUGGGGUUGGCGGUGCGGAGACAGCCUAAGGGACUAGGGAGCAGGGCUCUGAGGGUGGAAGGAGUUAUAUGCUAAGGGUUGGGGAGUGGAAAGUCACGACAGAGGGAACCCGGGAGAAGGUCUGGGCCCACAGGAGAGUCAAGGGGCCAUUGUUGGGGAGGGGAGAGGAGAAGGGGCAGGCCAUCAUAGAAAACUCCUUGUGCCCCAGCAUGCAUGCUUGCCUCCCAGCUAAUAGAGAGCAGAAGUGUUCUCAGUACAUCCCACCCACCCCUGUGGCCAUCCAUGGCACACUGGUCCCACCACCCACUGAGAAGCUGACCACCACUGCGGCGCAGCCAGGCCAGCCCUGCCCACCCUGGGGAAUGCCCCACUGCCAUGGCACACUCUGGCCAGACCCAUCUUCCCAUGAGAAGUGCACCACGACCACAGCAUGACUCGGCCAGCCCUGCCCAUCUACAGGAAGCACCAAGCCACCACAGCACAGCCAGGGAAGCACCCUGCCACACAGUGCACCCCAGACUGCCAAAGUACAGUUUGGCUUCCCCAAAUUCACAGAAAAAGACACAAGCAAGAUGAAGAAGCCCAGAAACCAUUCCAGUUAAAGCAGCAAGAUAAUUCACCUAAAGAUAUUAACAAUGAAACAGACCUCUGUAGUCUGACAGACUUUGAGUUCAAAAGGGAGAUAGUGAAAAUACUGAAGGAAUUAAGAGAAGAUACGUACAGUAACGCAGAUUCCCUCAGAAAGUAACUAGAAAAUAUAAGGAGGAACCAAGAAAAACUGGAAAAUUCAUUUGCAGAGAUACAAAUGGAGCUAAAGGCAAUAAAGACCAGAAUGAAUAAUGCAGAGGAAUGAAUUAGUGAUGUGGAAGAUAGAAUAAUGGAAAUCACCCAAACAGGACAUCAGACAGAAAACCAAAUGAAAAAACAUGAAAGCAAUAUAAGAGACAUAAAAGAUAAUAUAAAGCAGGCCAAUCUAUACAUAAUAGGAAUUGGAGAAGGAAGAGAAAAAGAAAAUGGGAUUGAAAAAUAUAUUUGAAGAAAUGAUGGCUGAAAACUUUCAAAAUAUAAAGGAUACUGAUAUCAAGAUACAGGAAGCACAGAUGGCCCCAAACAAGUUGAACCCAAACGGCCCAUGGCAAGACAUAUUAUAAAAAAAAAUGGCAGAAGUUAAUGAUAAAGAGAGGAUUCUAACGGCAGCAAGAGAAAAGCAAAGUGUCAAUUAUAAGGGAACCACCAUAAGGCUAUCAGCUAAUUUCUCUACAGAAACUCUAUAGGACAGGAGGGAACAGCAAGAUAUAUUUAAAGCACUGAAAGGAAAAAAAUAUGCAACCUAGAAUACUCUAUCCUGCAAGAAUAUCAUUUAAAAUAGAAGGGAAAAAAAUAAUUUCUCCAACAAGCAAAAGCUAAAAGAAUACAGUAAUACGAACUGGAUUCUAAAAGAAAUACUAAAAGGGCUUCUGUAAAUGAAAAAAAAAAAAAAAAAA
ensembl:lncRNA